rnacentral:rRNA from 1 species
AUUGAACGCUGGCGGCAGGCCUAACACAUGCAAGUCGAGCGGAUGAAGGGAGCUUGCUCCUGGAUUCAGCGGCGGACGGGUGAGUAAUGCCUAGGAAUCUGCCUAUUAGUGGGGGAUAACGUCCGGAAACGGGCGCUAAUACCGCAUACGUCCUGAGGGAGAAAGGGGGGGAUCUUCGGACCUCACGCUAUCAGAUGAGCCUAGGUCGGAUUAGCUAGUUGGUGGGGUAAAGGCCUACCAAGGCGACGAUCCGUAACUGGUCUGAGAGGAUGAUCAGUCACACUGGAACUGAGACACGGUCCAGACUCCUACGGGAGGCAGCAGUGGGGAAUAUUGGACAAUGGGCGAAAGCCUGAUCCAGCCAUGCCGCGUGUGUGAAGAAGGUCUUCGGAUUGUAAAGCACUUUUAGUUGGGAGGAAGGGCAGUAAGUUAAUACCUUGCUGUUUUGACGGUACCAACAGAAUAAGCACCGGCUAACUUCGUG